GUAAACGGCGGCCGUAACUAUAACGGUCCUAAGGUAGCGAAAUUCCUUGUCGGGUAAGUUCCGACCCGCACGAAAGGCGUAACGAUUUGGGCACUGUCUCAACGAGGGACCCGGUGAAAUUGAAAUACCUGUGAAGAUGCAGGUUACCCGCGACUGGACAGAAAGACCCCAUGGAGCUUUACUGCAACCUAAGAUUGAACUUAGUUAAUGAAUGUACAGGAUAGGUGGGAGACGUAGAACCUAGGACGCCAGUUUUAGGGGAGUCGUUGUUGGGAUACCACCCUUUCAUUAAUUGAUUUCUAACGGGCCGAGUAACGACCGGCCGGACAGUCUUAGGCGGGCAGUUUGACUGGGGCGGUCGCCUCCUAAAGAGUAACGGAGGCGCCCAAAGGUUCCCUCAGAGCGGACGGAAAUCGCUCGAAGAGUGUAAAGGCAGAAGGGAGCUUGACUGCGAGACGGACAGGUCGAGCAGGGACGAAAGUCGGGCUUAGUGAUCCGGUGGUGCCGAGUGGAAGGGCCAUCGCUCAACGGAUAAAAGCUACCCUGGGGAUAACAGGCUAAUCUCUCCCAAGAGUCCAUAUCGACGGGGAGGUUUGGCACCUCGAUGUCGGCUCAUCACAUCCUGGGGCUGAAGCAGGUCCCAAGGGUUGGGCUGUUCGCCCAUUAAAGUGGUACGUGAGCUGGGUUCAGAACGUCGUGAGACAGUUCGGUCCAUAUCCAUCGCGGGCGUAAGAUACAUGAGGGAGGCUGCUCCUAGUACGAGAGGACCGGAGUGGACGGACCAACGGUGUACCGGUUGUCCUGCCAAGGGCACGGCCGGGUAGCUGCGUCCGGAAGGGAUAAACGCUGAAAGCAUCUAAGCGUGAAGCCCGUCCCGAGAUGAAGUAUCUCAUUCCUAUAAGGAAGUAAGACCCCUUGAAGAAGACAAGGUUGAUAGGCUGGAUGUGGAAGCACAGCAAUGUGUGCAGCUGACCAGCACUAAUCGGUCGAGGGCUUGACUUA
rnacentral:rRNA from 1 species